ACCCGCUGAACUUAAGCAUAUCAAUAAGCGGAGGAAAAGAAACCAACAGGGAUUGCCCUAGUAACGGCGAGUGAAGCGGCAACAGCUCAAAUUUGAAAUCUGGCUCUUUCAGAGUCCGAGUUGUAAUUUGCAGAGGGCGCUUUGGCUUUGGCAGCGGUCCAAGUUCCUUGGAACAGGACGUCACAGAGGGUGAGAAUCCCGUACGUGGUCGCUAGCUAUUGCCGUGUAAGGCCCCUUCGACGAGUCGAGUUGUUUGGGAAUGCAGCUCUAAAUGGGAGGUAAAUUUCUUCUAAAGCUAAAUACUGGCCAGAGACCGAUAGCGCACAAGUAGAGUGAUCGAAAGAUGAAAAGCACUUUGGAAAGAGAGUCAAACAGCACGUGAAAUUGUUGAAAGGGAAGCGCUUGCAGCCAGACUUGCUUGCAGUUGCUCAUCCGGGCUUUUGCCCGGUGCACUCUUCUGCAGGCAGGCCAGCAUCAGUUUGGGCGGUGGGAUAAAGGUCUCUGUCACGUACCUCUCUUCGGGGAGGCCUUAUAGGGGAGGCGACAUACCACCAGCCUGGACUGAGGUCCGCGCAUCUGCUAGGAUGCUGGCGUAAUGGCUGU
rnacentral:rRNA from 1 species